rnacentral:rRNA from 1 species
ACGUAGGAGGCGAGCGUUGUCCGGAAUUACUGGGCGUAAAGAGCGCGUAGGUGGCGCGAUACGACCGGUGUGAAAUCCUCCGGCUCAACUGGAGGGGGUCACUGGUAACGGUCGUGCUUAUGAGUGCAGGAGAGGGACGUGGAACUCCGGGAGUAGCGGUGAAAUGCGUAGAGACCCGGAGGAACACCAGUGGCGAAGGCGGCGUCCUGGCCUGCGACUGACGCUGUGGCGCGAAAGCUAGGGGAGCGAACGGGAUUAGAUACCCCGGUAGUCCUAGCCGUAAACGAUGGACACUAGGUGUGCGUGGUAUCGACCCCACGCGUGCCGGCGCUAACGCAGUAAGUGUCCCGCCUGGGGAGUACGGCCGCAAGGCUA